AUACGGAGGGUGCAAGCGUUAUUCGGAAUCACUGGGCGUAAAGGACGCGUAGGCGGACUAUUAAGUCAGGUGUGAAAUCCUACAGCUCAACUGUAGAACUGCACUUGAAACUACAGACCUAGAGUAUGGAAGGGGCAGAUGGAAUUAGUGGUGUAGGGGUAAAAUCCGUAGAUAUCACUAGGAAUACCGAAAGCGAAGGCGAUCUGCUGGGACAUUACUGACGCUGAGGCGUGAAAGCGUGGGGAGCAAACAGGAUUAGAAACCCUUGUAGUCC
rnacentral:rRNA from 1 species